rnacentral:rRNA from 1 species
AACAAACGCUGGCGGCGUGCCUAAUACAUGCAAGUCGAACGGGGAAAGCUUUCGGGUGAGUACUAGUGGCGCACGGGUGAGGAACGCGUGGAUAAUCUGCCUUAGAGUGGGGGAUAACUAGUCGAAAGAUUAGCUAAUACCGCAUAAGACCACGAGAGCUGCGGCUUUUGAGGUCAAAGGUUUUUCGCUCUAAGAUGAGUCCGCGUAAGAUUAGCUAGUUGGUGAGGUAACGGCUCACCAAGGCGACGAUCUUUAACUGGUCUGAGAGGAUGAUCAGUCACACUGGAGCUGAGACACGGUCCAGACUCCUACGGGAGGCAGCAGUAGGGAAUAUUGCACAAUGGAGGAAACUCUGAUGCAGCGACGCCGCGUGAGUGAUGAAGGCCUUCGGGUCGUAAAGCUCUGUCGCAGGGGAAUAACACAAUGAAGGUACCCUGUAAGAAAGGAUCGGCUAACUUCGUG